CCCUUAGAUGUUCUGGGCCGCACGCGCGCUACACUGAUGCAUUCAACGAGCCUAGCCUUGACCGAGAGGUCCGGGUAAUCUUUGAAACUGCAUCGUGAUGGGGCUAGAUUAUUGCAAUUAUUAAUCUUCAACGAGGAAUGCCUAGUAAGCGUGAUUCAUCAAAUCGCGUUGAUUACGUCCCUGCCCUUUGUACACACCGCCCGUCGCACCUACCGAUUGAAUGGUCCGGUGAAAUCUCGGGACGGCGGCUUGGUCGCUUGCGUCCGACUGCUGAAACUUGAUUAAACCAUAUCAUUUAGAGGAAGGUGAAGUCGUAACA
rnacentral:rRNA from 1 species